rnacentral:rRNA from 1 species
AGAGUUUGAUCCUGGCUCAGGACGAACGCUAGCUACAGGCUUAACACAUGCAAGUCGAGGGGAAACGAUAUUGGAAGCUUGCUUCCGAUAGGCGUCGACCGGCGCACGGGUGAGUAACGCGUAUCCAACCUGCCCACCACUUGGGGAUAACCUUGCGAAAGUAAGACUAAUACCCAAUGAUAUCUCUAGAAGACAUCUGAAAGAGAUUAAAGAUUUAUCGGUGAUGGAUGGGGAUGCGUCUGAUUAGCUUGUUGGCGGGGUAACGGCCCACCAAGGCAACGAUCAGUAGGGGUUCUGAGAGGAAGGUCCCCCACAUUGGAACUGAGACACGGUCCAAACUCCUACGGGAGGCAGCAGUGAGGAAUAUUGGUCAAUGGACGAGAGUCUGAACCAGCCAAGUAGCGUGCAGGAAGACGGCCCUAUGGGUUGUAAACUGCUUUUAUAAGGGAAUAAAGUGAGAGUCGUGACUCUUUUUGCAUGUACCUUAUGAAUAAGGACCGGCUAAUUCCGUGCCAGCAGCCGCGGUAAUACGGAAGGUCCGGGCGUUAUCCGGAUUUAUUGGGUUUAAAGGGAGCGUAGGCCGGAGAUUAAGCGUGUUGUGAAAUGUAGACGCUCAACGUCUGCACUGCAGCGCGAACUGGUUUCCUUGAGUACGCACAAAGUGGGCGGAAUUCGUGGUGUAGCGGUGAAAUGCUUAGAUAUCACGAAGAACUCCGAUUGCGAAGGCAGCUCACUGGAGCGCAACUGACGCUGAAGCUCGAAAGUGCGGGUAUCGAACAGGAUUAGAUACCCUGGUAGUCCGCACGGUAAACGAUGGAUGCCCGCUGUUGGUCUGAAUAGGUCAGCGGCCAAGCGAAAGCAUUAAGCAUCCCACCUGGGGAGUACGCCGGCAACGGUGAAACUCAAAGGAAUUGACGGGGGCCCGCACGAGCAGUGGAGUAUGUGGUUUAAUUCGAAGCAACGCGAAGAACCUUACCAGGUCUUGACAUCGAGUGCAUAACUAAGAGAUUAGUGAAAUCCCUUCGGGGACACUUAGACAGGUGGUGCAUGGUUGUCGUCAGCUCGUGUCGUGAGAUGUUGGGUUAAGUCCCGCAACGAGCGCAACCCUUACCUUUAGUUGCUACGCAAGAGCACUCUAAAGGGACUGCCGUUGACAAAACGGAGGAAGGUGGGGAUGACGUCAAAUCACCAUGCCCCUUAUGACCUGGGCUACACACGUACUACAAUGGCAAUCAACAAAGAGAAGCAAGACAGUGAUGUGGAGCAAAUCUCAAAAAAUUGUCCCAGUUCAGAUUGUAGGCUGCAACUCGCCUACAUGAAGUCGGAAUUGCUAGUAAUCGCGGAUCAGAAUGCCGCGGUGAAUACGUUCCCGGGCCUUGUACACACCGCCCGUCACACCAUGGGAGUCGGUAACACCCGAAGUCGGUAGUCUAACAGCAAUGAGGACGCCGCCGAAGGUGGGAUUGAUGACCGGGGUGAAGUCGUAACAAGGUA